rnacentral:rRNA from 1 species
GACGAACGCUGGCGGCGUGCUUAACACAUGCAAGUCGAACGGAAAGGCCCUGCUUUUGUGGGGUGCUCGAGUGGCGAACGGGUAAGUAACACGUGAGUAACCUGCCCUUGACUUUGGGAUAACUUCAAGAAACUGGGGCAAAUACCGUAUCGGAGCUCCUGCUGCAUGGUGGGGGUUGGAAAUUUUCGGCGGUUGGGGAUGGACGCGCGGCUUAUCAGUUUGUUGGUGGGGUAGUGGCUUACCAAGGCUUUGACGGGUAGCCGGCCUGAGAGGGUGACCGGCCACAUUGGGACUGAGAUACGGCCCAGCCUCCUACGGGAGGCAGCAGUGGGGAAUAAUGAACAAUGGGCGGAAGCCUGACGCAGCAACGCCGCGUGCGGGAUGACGGCCUUCGGGUGGUAAACCGCUUUCGCCUGUGACGAAGCGUGAGUGACGGUAAUGGGAAAAGAAGCACCGGCUAACUACGUG